rnacentral:rRNA from 1 species
UACGGGGGGAGCAAGCGUUGUUCGGAUUUACUGGGCGUAAAGGGCGCGUAGGCGGCCUCUGCAAGUCGACUGUGAAAUCUCCGGGCUUAACCCGGAAAGGUCAGCCGAUACUGCAGGGCUAGAGUGCAGAAGGGGCAACUGGAAUUCUCGGUGUAGCGGUGAAAUGCGUAGAUAUCGAGAGGAACACCUGCGGCGAAGGCGGGUUGCUGGGCUGACACUGACGCUGGAGCGCGAAAGCUAGGGGAGCGAACGGG